UACGUAGGGCGCAAGCGUUAUCCGGAAUUAUUGGGCGUAAAGAGCUCGUAGGCGGUUUGUCGCGUCUGCCGUGAAAGUCCGGGGCUCAACUCCGGAUCUGCGGUGGGUACGGGCAGACUAGAGUGAUGUAGGGGGAGACUGGAAUUCCUGGUGUAGCGGUGGAAUGCGUAGAGAUCCGGAAGAACACCGGUGGCGAAGGCGGCCCGCUGGGCAGGAAGACACCGCAAGGUGUCGGCUGACGCUGAGGCGCGACAGCGUGGGGAGCAAACAGG
rnacentral:rRNA from 1 species